AACGAACGCUGGCGGCAUGCCUAACACAUGCGAGUCGAACGAGGCCUUCGGGUCUAGUGGCGCACGGGUGCGUAACGCGUGGGAACCUGCCCUUAGGUUCGGAAUAACUCCCCGAAAGGGGUGCUAAUACCGGAUAAUGUCUUCGGACCAAAGAUUUAUCGCCUUUGGAUGUGCCCGCGUUGGAUUAGCUAGUUGGUAGGGUAAAAGCCUACCAAGGCGACGAUCCAUAGCUGGUCUGAGAGGAUGAUCAGCCACACUGGGACUGAGACACGGCCCAGACUCCUACGGGAGGCAGCAGUGGGGAAUAUUGGACAAUGGGCGAAAGCCUGAUCCAGCAAUGCCGCGUGAGUGAUGAAGGCCUUAGGGUUGUAAAGCUCUUUUACCCGGGAUGAUAAUGACAGUACCGGGAGAAUAAGCUCCGGCUAACUCCGUG
rnacentral:rRNA from 1 species